UUGUCAUGACAGGGGUGCCGUUAGGCUGAGACAGUCCCUUAUGACCUGAUCUAGUUAAUGCUAGCGUAGGGAGUCAUAUCUAUCUUAUU
rfam:Erysipelotrichaceae bacterium 3_1_53 genomic scaffold supercont1.11, whole genome shotgun sequence.